UUCCAUUUUGCAUCUUCAAAAACAUAUUCGUUCAUAAAUCUCCGUAGUCACCAAAGGAUCAAUACGAACCUAGGAGAUUAUAAUAACUAUUGCUGGAAUAUCAAUGAAUCUCAACUCGAUUUCCUUUGCAUAAGCGCAAUCCUUCAAGCUAUUUCGUAAGUGCUUCAGUUCACCUCAAUACCAAAACUCUUGUCUACCUAGUCAUAUCAAGGAUGCAAACCUUGAAAUAAACUUUACUACUUGAAAAGACACAAGGUUAUACUCAAGUUUUCUGUGGAAGAUUGAUUCAGCAAAAGAUAGGUAUGUG